rnacentral:rRNA from 1 species
GGGAACGUCAAAGGAGACUGCCAGUGAGUAAACUGGAGGAAGGUGGGGAUGACGUCAAGUCAUCAUGGCCCUUACGACCAGGGCUGCACACGUGCUACAAUGGCGCAUACAAAGAGAAGCGACCUCGCGAGAGCAAGCGGACCUCAUAAAGUGCGUCGUAGUCCGGAUUGGAGUCUGCAACUCGACUCCAUGAAGUCGGAAUCGCUAGUAAUCGUGGAUCAGAAUGCCACGGUGAAUACGUUCCCGGGCCUU